rnacentral:rRNA from 1 species
UACGAAGGGGGCUAGCGUUGCUCGGAAUCACUGGGCGUAAAGGGUGCGUAGGCGGGUUUUUAAGUCAGGGGUGAAAUCCUGGAGCUCAACUCCAGAACUGCCUUUGAUACUGAAGAUCUUGAGUCCGGGAGAGGUGAGUGGAACUGCGAGUGUAGAGGUGAAAUUCGUAGAUAUUCGCAAGUACACCAGUGGCGAAGGCGGCUCACUGGCCCGGUACUGACGCUGAGGCACGAAAGCGUGGGGAGCAAACAGG